GGUCGCUAGGAAUUGGACAUGACUGAGCGACUUCACUUUCACUUUGCACUUUCUGCAUUGGAAAAGGAAAUGGCAACCCACUUCAGCGUUCUUGCCUGGAGAAUCCCAGGGAUGGGGGAGCCUGGUGGGCUGCCGUCUACGGGAUCGCACAGAGUCAGACACGACUGAAGUGACCUAGCAGCAGCAGCCGCAGCACGUCUUUUCUCAGCAUUGCCACGAUGUGCUAGUGCUGUUACUGUGGUUUUUUCCCAGUCCUCCUUUGGAAAUGGUCUUAAGUAGACUACCCAGGCAUCCUAUGUUAUAGUACAAUCACAGUAGUUCAGAUUCUCUUUGUAAGCAAGUACACACUUUCAGGGUUUUUUUUUGUUUUUUUGGUUUUUUUUUUUGUAAAGCUAUAUUGGCUGUUUGGGACUGAGUGGUGGUUAAGUUGAUUUCUGUUCUAACGCGAUUUGCAUGUUGAAAAGCACGUUCGCCCUUUCUUCUUCUCCAUCUCAUCCACCUCCUUGAGGAUAGUAGAAUGUGGUUUAGUCCAAUGUGUGACAUCCUACAUGUAACAUCCUACGGUGACCUCUGCAUGCUGAGAUAAGAGGGCAGGGAGCAGCCUUGUUUCUGGCAUUCUUCCAGAAGCAGAGCCUAGGGAACCCUGCUGCUUUGUGUGGCCUGUCUUUUCAAGCCGCCCCAUGACAUGGUGAACCAGAAGCUUCCUGGAUCACUAGCGACCCUAGGUUCCCAUCGUAGGUCUGUGAGGAGUGGUGGCUACCUCCAGCAGCCAGACUAAGCUAGACCCGGCAAAGGGAGCAAGUUCUGAGGAACCUCCCGUGUUUAUUGAUGGAAGCUGAAAUCCACGUAGUUUCUCACACACGAGUGGUUAUCCUCUUCUGCCUCGUUUCUUCAGCUUCUACUUGGAUCCUUGAAUAAAGGUCUAGGAAACAGUGUGUGCAUGGGUGCUCAAUCACUUAAAGUCGGACAUGACUGAAGUGACUUAGCAGCAGUAGCAAUGCUUAUACUAAAGCCUUGUCAAGGUUUAUAAGUUUGGAAUACAUUGUAAAGUGCUUAUCACCUGUACUAUAUAAUUUGAUAGUCACAAUUGCCCUUUAAAGUUGACAGAGAGAUGUUUUUAUUUCCAUCUUAAAAAUAGUUAACAGUGCUUCCCUGGUGCCUCAGUGGUAAGGGAUCUGCCUGUCAAUGCAGGAGACACAGGUUCAAUCCCUGGUCUGGGAAGAUCCCGCAUGCCGUGGAGCAAGUAAGCCCGUGCACCACAGAUACUGAGCUGCGCUCUAAAGCUGAGAAGCUGCAGCUACUGAAGUCCACGUGCCCUGGAGCCAUGCUGCAAAAGAGAAGCCGCUGCAAUGAGAAGCCCACACAGGGCAACUAGAGAGGAGCCCCCGCUCACCGCAGCUAGAGAGGAGCCCCCACUCACCACAGCUAGAGAGGAGCCCUCACUCACCGCAGCUAGAGAAAAGCUGCACAGCAAUGAAGGCCCAGCACAGCCAAAAAUAAAUGAGUAAAACUUUAAAAAGAGAAAAAAGAAAUAGUUAACAGACUCAACAUUCUCGAGCGAUUCUCAUGGCUACAGAUCUCUUGAUCUCCUGACUCCAAAGGCACAAUCUCCUGACCAAGUAGAGCAGUCAUGGUACAUUUAAAAAAAAAAACAAAACACCUAAAUACUGAAUAUAAUACUCUAUAUACUUUCCUUCGAUCUGAGAAAAAAAAAUGUAUAAUAUGAAGACUACAUAUAUAGAGAAAUACCAUACCAGUAUUUUCUAUGGGCAUACCUUAUGAUUUUUAAUAAUUAUUAAAGAAGACGUAGCACAUAUAUACAAUGGACUACGACCCAGCCAUAAAAGAUAAUGAAACAAUGCCACUUGUAGCCACACACUGGGACCCAGAGGUUGUCAUGCAGAGUAAUAUAAGCCAGACAGAGAGAAACAGAUACCAUAUGAUGUCACUUUUACGUGGAAAAAAAAAAGAUACCAUUGAACCUAUUUCCAAAACAGAAAAAGACUCACAGAUAUGAAAAAAAAAAAACAACUUAUGGUUAUUAGGAGGUUGGGUUAACAGAUACACAUUCCUAUAUAUAAAAUAAAUAACAAGGAUCUACUGUACUGUAUGUACAGGAACUGUACUCAGUAUUUUGUAAUAUAAGGAAAAAGAAUCUGUGUGUGUGUGUGUGUGUGUGUGUGUAUUUGAAUCACUGUGCUAUACACCUGAAACUAACAUGACAUCGUAAAUCAGCUUUACUUCUGUAGUUUACUUCUAUACUUCUAUAGUUAUAUUAUAAUUUAAAAAAUUAUUACUGUAGCAUCAAUAAUAUAGAACUGGACAUGUAGCAGGUGCUUAUUUAAUAGGAUUUUGUUUUAUAUUAAGGGCUUUCUUAGUGGCUCAGUUGGUAAAGAUUCUGCCUGCAAUGCAGGAGACUGUCUGUGAUGUAGGAGACACAGGUUUGAUCCCUGAGUCAGGAAGAUCCCCUGGAGAAGGAAAUGGCAACCCACUCUAGUAUUCUUGCCUGGAAAAUUCCAUGGACAGAGGAGCCUGGUGGGCUACAGUCCAUGGGGUCACAAAAGGACACAACUGAGUGACUAAGUCACCACUGUAUAUUAUUUACCAGGAUGAAUAUAAUUACAGUUAUAUUUCAGGGAGACAGAUAUGAAAGAAGUUGACUUGGAUUUGUGUGUAUUCUCCUUGUAUUUUUAAAAUAUAAACACGUGCAGAAACGGUGUAGGCCUUGAACUUGUGCAGGCCUAGGUUUGCCUCCCACGUGCCACAUGUAGGACUCUGGGUCUAUGAGGAUAUUUUUCCUAGUUUUUUUUCCCACCUGUGAAAUGAUCAUUAUAGAACUUACUAGAUAAGAUGGUUUAUAUUGGUUAAUGAAUGUUGAGUAUAUAAUAAGUACAUCAUUCAUAAAAAGCAUUCAGUAAAUGGUGAUUACUAACAAAUAAAAGCAAAAGAUGUAUGGAGCUACCACUUAGUCAGAGGUUAUAGUUAAGGGUGCUCUGGUACGUGCUUCUUUGUAUUAAUUCUUUCUUUCUUUUUGGAUGUACUGGGUCUUCUGUGUUCCACAUGGUCUUUAUUUAGUUGCAGUGAUUGGAGGCUACUCGAGUUGCAGUGUAUGAACUUCUCGCUGCCGUGGCUUCUCUUGUUACGGAGCACCAGCUCAGGGUGCAGGCUUCAGCAGUUACAGUGCAUGGCCUUACUUGCCCCAAGGCCUGUGGAAUCUUCCCAGACCAGGGAUCGAACCCAUAUCCCCUGCAUUGGCAGGUGGAUUCUUAACCACUGGACCGCCAGGGUAGUCCAUGAUAUAUGCUUCUUAAUGUGGAUGUGCCUACAGUCUCAUAAUUUUCUUAGUAAAUAUCUUUGUAGCUUCUUUUUUUCCCCAGGGCUCCAUUUUUUAUAAUAUGCGUAUGUGAGUUUUUAACAAAGUUACAGUCCUGUGGAGGAGUGCCUCAGUUCAAAUGUUUGGUUUGCUCCAGGUCAAAGAGAGCCUCUGUGCAGUCAGUGAUGUAUAAUACACCUCACCGUAACAAGCAGUGCAUUGUCCGCCUGGUUUCCUGACAUCAGGAGUAGAAUAGUGUUGUAUCACACCUACUCAUGGGUAACUCUGUAUUAGGAAUGCCAAAAUUUCAUCUCCUGUUCAGUCCUGUGACUUGUGCUGAAUGAAUGUGGAUUGUUUUUGUAAGGCCAAGGCCUUUGUGACAAGACCAUAAAAGUUUCAGGGAAGAUGGUAAUGAUGGAUUUUCUUUUUAUUCAUUGGAGUGCUUGUAAUAAAACUAAUGAAUGGAAAGGACUGAGCAUUUUCAAUUAGCUGCAUAUAGUAAAAUCCUAAAAAUAAUUAGUGGCUGAGAUGGUGUGUAGUUAUUUUAAAAUACCAUUUCUAGUUUGUAAAAUCUUGGUUUAGUUUGCUUUGGAAUCCAGCCAUUUGGGAGAGAGAAAAACCCACAAUGGGCAUGUGCGUGUGUAUGUUUCAGACAGGCUUUUUAUUUCUAUGUGAUAGUGUAAUAAUAGGUAGUAACUGAUACUUUUUAGUCUUUUAUACUUUCACAAAAUUUUCUCUAAUUCAUGUUAACGCAUUCCUCACAACAACAGUUUGACUUUAUUAAUAUAAAUAAGAUUAUUAGUUAUUAACAAAAGUGGUAUGUGCAGUUGAGCCUGGCGGGCUACAGUCCAUGGGGUCACAAAGAGUCAGACACAACUGAGUGACUAACACAAAACACACAAGGGGAGAGUUAUUGGUCAAAGCUGGAUUUUCGUGAAUCUGGAUCACGUGUGUUCUUGAUUGAGACUUCAUAGCUUCCAGUGCUUUAAAGAUUAUGAUAUUCUCCACAUAUAUUCUACCACUGGAUCGCCAUGGUAGUCCGUGAACUAUUAAUUAAUAUCCUCAUUUUAGAGAUGAUGAGCCUAAGGCUGUGCAGAGUCAAGGGACUGGGUCUCUUUUUCCUUAUCUCUAAUGUGAUCCAGCGGAAAGUUUCUGAAAAUUUCUACCCUUGGGCUUUGAAAGCAGAGGUCCAGAAACGUGUUUGUGUGGUUUCUGAGUAUCUUAGUCACUUUGGGCUGCUGUCACAGAAGACCAUAGACUGACUGGCUUUAAAGAAAAAAAAAAAAAUUUACUGCUCACGCUUAUUUAAAUACAUUUAAUUUAGUCAAUUUAAAUUUAUUUAUUUAUGGAGGGAAUCCAAUUUAUUUAUUUAGGGAAUCCAAGACCAAGGCUCUGAUCUAUUUGGUGUCUGGUGAAGAAUAUGUACUUCCUGAUUCACAGAUGACCAUCCUCUUUCUGUGUCCACUCCUGGUGGAAAGGAGCCUCAGAGAGACCUCUCUGGAUUCUCCUUUAUAAGGACACUAAUCCCCUUGAGGGCUCCACCCCCAUGACCUCAUUACCUCACAAAGGCCCCACCUCUGAAUGCCCUUACAUUAGGGUGAGGAUUUCAACAUAUAACUUUGCCAGGAACAUACAUACUCAUCACAUAACAGCAGAUAUCUAGUUUGAAAUGGCCAGUAACAACCAAAAUAUUUGUGUGUUUUUUUUUUGUCUUUGCCUUAUCUUUCCUGUGCAUGUGAAAUUUGCAUUUUGCUCCAUGAUCUAAGCUUCAAUAUCAAAAUUUGUCCCUCAAAACUCAAAUCAGAGUAAACUUUAUGCCAUAGGGAUUUCAUGGAUUUCUGUGGGGAUAAUUCUAUGGCACACUGCCUUGCCCUGGGCUUGGGGAGUACCCAAUCAGGUCAUGUAAAUCCACAACCCUUUCAGCUUAUUCUGACACUAUAGUUAGUGAUGCUACAUGUUUAGCCAAAGUUUUUACAGUCUGUGUUUCUUUUACUCUCUUUUUUGUUGACAAAAUUUGUUACCUACUAUUUUAUUACAAAAAUGAUUUAAGGGCCUUCUCCUAAGGACAUACAAUAAAAUCUAAAAAUGUAUGAAAGUCAGAGUGAAAGAAAAACCAGGCUGUUGUAGCAGGAGUAAAUUGGAAUGUGUGUUGUGGGUAGAUGCCUGUGUUAUGUUCCUGCAAAUUUGCUAGAAAUAGACCAUUGAUUUGGCUCUAAGCUUCCUUCCAGCCCAGACUCUCAGGCUGAAGUUUUGCGUCAGCUGUAUAAGCCACAUGUAGAAGGAGUCCAGGUUAUCCUGGCCCUGAAGCCUGAGGGAAAUGUCCCUUUCGGGUCCACAUAAGGUGAACACCCUUGCAUCUUGGAUUGCCAGACGCAAACAGGGCAUUUUGGCAUUCUCAUCGCAAACUUCACUAGAUGUGUUGUUUGGCUGCAAAUUAUAGCAUCCCAUGAGAAAAGCUCGAGGAGAUCAUACCAAAACCCGGUGUGACUAUGGCAGGUCUCAACCCAGGUUUUCUGCCGGCAAGUCCAUUGUGAUUUCUGACGAGGAUGGAUUAAACCCUUGUUUCUUUUCCAUCCAAAUUGCUUUCUGGAUGGAGUUAAGAGAAAUGUAUAAUAAUAUUUCCAGGGUAGUGUUCUUCUCAUUAGGAGAGAAAAUGAAUCCAUUGGAAUUUUAAUGGUGAGCCUUUUUAAUAGCAAUCCUUAUGAUUUAUUAUUCUCCGUGGGAUUUUAUUCACAGUCUUAAAGUCUUAAUAAAAAUACAUAUGAAAAAGAGGAGUUGGCUUGUCCCCAUGGAACAAGUUUUAACAUGAGAGAAGAAGGAUAAAUGUACACAGGAGACUCAGAAAGGGUGCUCUUGAUUCUUUGUACCUUCCUGCAUGAGAUGCAUAUGAAUGAGAGCCAGCAAGAAUAAGAAAUAUGUCCACUAGCAUGGUUCUGAUUAAAUACUUACUUGAAAGUUUUGAUUUGGGGAGCUCUCAGAUUAUGCACUCUUUUAAAAGACAUAUGCCCAGAGUUUACGGUUUAUUCUGGUUUGUAUACAUAGUAAGGAAGUCCUUGCAAUUCCAAGUCUGUGAGAUGUCCCAGUGCAGAGGGGUCUUCUCCUGGGCGUGGGGUUGAGGGGAUGGCUGGUCCUCGGCAUUGCAGGGUGGCCAACAGUAGCAAUGAAAAAUGAGACUGGACCACUUGCCCUGUACUUGCUCAUUUUGAAAGAAGCUCACAAAUGGCUGCAAAGCCCUCACUGUGUCUUUCCAGCCGUUGCCUGGUUCCAGACGUUUGAUCACCAAUGCAGCGUUUCCCUGAUGCUGUGUGGGUUGAUAAAACAGUUGCCGAGCCGGAAUCCCUAAAGAAAUUAUUAAUUAUCUGGUUAAUGGGCAUCAGGCUGAGGGAGUGUGAGAUUAAUCACCAGCCGUGGGAUGAGUUGCUGAAGUGGAUUUUGGUUUUUCGUCUCCUGUCACUCGGUAAUGGCUUUUCCUUCCUUCACCAUCAGGCGAACAGGUGCAGAGAUGCUGUCUUUUCAUUUUCCCAGAGUCAGUAACAGCCGGUGGCCAGGCGAUGCCUCUUCUUUAGUCCUGCUGCACGAGCAGUUUUCAACAUGGAGCAUUAGCUACUCAGAGUGUCCCGACUCUCGGAGUCUCUCCCGAUGUGUCAGGUCCCACCUCCACUUUUUCAGCGUUCCCCAGUGGCACACAUGGACACGCACAGUCUCCCACCAACAUACAUACUUGCACAUACACACAGACAUAUACAUACGCAGAUAGUUACAAAUGUGAGCAAAGAACAUUUGGAGAUAUUUCCAGAUGCAGUGCAUGAACUUCUGCUUUAUCUCAUUUCUUUAUUGGGGAAAACACUCCUUAUCUCUAAAUGCAAAAAAGAAAAAGAAAGAAAAGAAAGAAAGAAACACUCUAUGUGUCCUAGCUACUUCUUCCAGAGUGGGAGUUCCACAUGAGUUCUUUGGUAGCCGGUGAUACAACAAAGAUAUGGCAAGAAUUCUCUGGAUCUUCCCUUUCUCUCUUCUGGGUCCAGUCCCCUAUCCUAAGAAGUUACCUUCGUUCAGGUCCAUCACUCAUGUGAUAUCAUGUCUUCAUUUUGAGAAGCAUCUUUUCAGCAAUUGGAUCUUUCAUUUCCAGGACGUUAAUGUGUCUUGGAAUUUGUGGAGUUGUUGAGGAAAGUUGGCUAGUAUUCCAGGUAGUGGCAGGCAGGGAGCAUCCUCCAUGCUGGUUGCGGGAGAGCUCUGCUGUUCGGUUAAGAUCAUGCUUCCCAACCCUGUAUGCAGUGCCAGAGGCCCAGGUAAACCAUGGAUGCUGGAGGUUCCUAUGGUGAGUGAGCCCACAUCAAAUUUAGCCUUUCUGUCUUCCCUUUAUCUUAGACUGGGGCCUGAGACUUCACAAGAGGAUAUCCUGCUGCUUCACAGCGAUGCUAAGGAUAUAAAACUAUUAGCAGCACUGUUGAUUUUAGUUUGCUAUGUUUACUGUGUUUAUCUAGAGUUUGACAAUUUUUCCCUUGCAGGUUGAAUAAAUGGAAUGAAGAUGGGGCACACAUAUACUGUAAAGUAGAGAGAGGUAGCCCACUGAAACCAGAAAGAGUUUGAAGUGUAAAUGUAUAAAAGUAUUGCGUUGGCCAAAAAGUCCAUUCCUGGAUUUUCCAUACCAUCCUAUGGAAAAGUUGCAGGAAAACCCGAAUGAACUUACUGGCCAGCCUAGUAUAAUGUUUUAUUGCACUCUAAUACAUACUGUUAGAGAAGGCAAUGGCACCCCACUCCAGUACUCUUGCCUGGAAAAUACCAUGGACAGAGGAGCCUGGUAGGCUGCAGGCCAUGGGGUCGCUAAGAGUCGGACACAACUGAGUGACUUCACUUUCACUUUUCACUUUUAUGCAUUGGAGAAGGAAAUGGCAACACACUCCAGUGUUCUUGCCUGGAGAAUCCCGGGGAUGGGGAAGCCUGGUGGGCUGCCGUCUAUGGGGUCACACAGAGUCAGACACGACUGAAGCGACUUAGCAGCAGCAGCAGCAGCAAUACAUACUGUGCAGCUUCUCAGUUGCUUUUAAGGAGAAAUCUUUCUGAAUCUUUUAAAGCAAGUAGAUAUUUGUAGCUAAUUUUCCACUAAUAAAUCCAUGUUUAUUGGGAGCCUCAGAUUCUGAGGCUAUGGUGGAGAUAAGACAAAGGCCAAGCAUUCACUGACCUACAAGUCUAUUAUUCCAUUAUUAAAUAAGUAUACCAAGAGAAUGAUGUAGAAUUCAGAUGGUGAUAAGUGUUAGGGAGGAAAUAAAAUGAAGGUGUGAUGGAGAAUGAUUAGACAGUCAAAGAAGGGUUGAACUUUAAGGGGUAACCUUUGAUCUGAGAGCGUUAUGAGAAGGAACCCAUCCUGUAAAGAUUCAAGGACAGGAUGUUCUUGGCAGACAGAGUAACAGGAGCGAGGGCCGUCGGGUAGGCAUGUGCUGGGCUGGUUCAUGGAAUAGGAAAAAGGCUGAAAUAGCCAGAGCCUGGUGAGUGAAGAAGUAUUUGGCCUUGUUGUUGUGGGUGAGCAAGACCGUGACAUUGAACCCUGAUAGUGAAAGUCAUUCAGUCAUGUCCGACUUUUUGCAACCCCAUGGACUAUACAGUCCAUUAAAUUCUCCAGGCCAGAAUAUUGGAGUGGGUACCCUUUCCCUUCUCCAGGGGAUCUUCCCAACUCACGGAUCGAACCCAGGCCUCCCGUUUUGCAGGCAGAUUCUUUACCAGUUGAGGCACAAGGGAAGUCCAAGAAUACUGGAAUGGGUAGCCUAUCCCUCCUCCAGCGGAUCUUCCCAACCCAGGAAUCGAACCGAGGUCUCCUGCAUUGCAGGCGGAUUCUUUACCAACUGAGCUAUGAGCCCCCCUUGGAAAGGCUGCAGCUUAUCCCGUGCAUGAUGAAUUGCCUGUUUGCAUAUGAUAAGUUGAAAACUGUAAAGUUCUUUUAACUACACUCCUUGCCAUAGCCUUUGCAUGUUUAAUUUGCUUGGCUAAUCUUUCUUUAUGCAUAGUAUGAAGGGGGAAAAAAAAAUCAGUGUAUAUUGGAUUUUCACAAGAAUUCUAAAAUGAUUCCAGUUUGAAUGACAUAAAAUGCCCAUUUUGUUCGGGACGGCAUUGAAAUGGAUGUCACAGACAGUUAUCUGUGUCGAGCUCUUAAUCUCAUUUGGGGUGAGGAAUUUUUCUUGAGCAGUUCAGAAGAGGGUAGCUUUCUGUUAUGUGUAUUCUCUUUAUAUCUCCACUCAGUGCUAAGAUCCCAGAAACCGCUUAGAGUCCCAGAAUGUCUGCCUUGUCAUAAACUUCCAGGCAGUGGCUGGGCUUUGCAGCUACAGAAAAUGCAGAUGACCCAUUUCUGUUCCUAAAAUCUAAGCCUGCCUAGUAGUUGUGGAACUGCUGGCCUUGAAGGAUCUUCUGGACUUUAAACUGUCUUCUGGGCUUCUUGUAGAGCAUAGCAUCUCUGGUGGUUGGGUCACUCCUUCUCUUAGGGGUUCCCGAGCUCGUUCUGAUAAGUAAAGCCAAAUUUGCUUUGUUAAGCUCAGCAGUUUCCAGCAGUAAGGAGAUAAAAAAAGAGGGGGGAGAAAUGAAUAUCUUUGGGGGAGUAGAAGCCAUUUCUGUUUAUAACAGGCACUAAAUACACUUUUUAAAAAAUGAAUUGGUUUAAUUUUUGCAAUCUUACAGUGCCUCUACCAGGGAAUCUGGAAUAUCCCAUAGAAUAAAGCUGAACAGAAGGUUUGACUUAGCUUCUUGCCUCUGAUAGUACCAUUUUAUCUAUAGGUAGCGUCCUCUCAUGGAGAAGGCAAUGGCAACCCUCUCCAGUACUCUUGCCUGGAAAAUCCCAUGGACAGAGGAGCCUGGUAGGCUGCAGUCCAUGGGGUCACGAAGAGUCAGACGCAACUGAACGACUUCACUUUCAGUUUUCACUUUCAUGCAUUGGAGAAGGAAAUGGCAACCCACUCCAGUGUUCUUGCCUGGAGAAUCCCAGGGACGGGGGAGCCUGGUGGGCUGCUGUCUGUGGGGUCGCACACAACUGAAGUGACUUAGCAGCAGCAGCAUCCUCUGAGGGCUUCCCAGGUAGCGCUAGUGGUAAAGAACCCGCCUGCCAAUGCAGGAGAUGUAAGAAAUGCAGGUUCAAUCCCUGGGUGGCAAGAUCCCCUAGAGGAGGUCAUGGUAACCCACUCCAGUAUUCUUGCCUGGAGAAUUGUUAUGAACAGAGGAGCCAGGUGGGCUAUGGUCCAUAGGGUCGCAAAGAGUCGGACACGACUGAAACGACUUAGCGCACAUGCCUGCACAGCAUCCUCUGAGUUGUUUUAGGAAUAUAAAUUGCAAAAUGUCAUCUGUGAGGAUGGUGGUUGUCGUUUUAUCUCUUUUAGAGAAUUAAGAAAUGAAUGUAAUUGUUGGUCCAGGGGUCACUGCAUUUGCAAUAAACACUCUGGGACCCUUGCCCUCUCUUGAGUUUUCCAAAGAGUUACUACUUCCUGAGACCUGCCAACUUUUUCCUAGGUGCUUUAUUGAAAUCAUCUUUAAUAUUCACAGUGACCUCAAAAGGUAGACACCAAUACUAUCCUUCCUUGUUCUGCAGAUAAGAAACUGGGCCACCAAGGGGUUUGUAAUCCAUCCAAGCAGAGGGCUGCAGCCAGGCUCUGCAUCAGACUGUGGGCUCUUUCCUUGUGCUCUGGGCUUCAUGCUGCCAUCUUUGAAGGAACUGUGCAUGUGUCCAAACAAGGACUUAUCUGCAUCUUGUGCAGAGUUACCCCUCGUCUUGUUAAUAAAGUAAUGACCAGUCCCUGGGAGCAUCAUCUGAAUGUGGAGGGUGGAAGGGGUCGAUGACAUAUCAUUUCAGUUGAGUCACUCAGUCCUGUCUGACUCUUUGCAACCCCAUGGACUGCAGCUCGCCAGGCUUCCCUGUCCAUCACCAACUCCCGGAGCUUGCUCAAACUCAUGUCUGUCGAGUUGGUGUUGCCAUCCUGAACCCCAUGAACAGUAUGAAAAGGCAAAAAGAUGGCACAUCAGUGCCAUUUAAUUUAAUCCAGCUGUCUACUGUGCUCACGCCCAAGGCCCUUGUCACUUUCUUAGAUGAAUUUGUCUCGUCUGCAUCUCUGGAUAAUUCUCCACCAGAGGCUCAGUCUCUCUUCUGAGUAUACAGGCCAGCAGGGACCAGCUGUGUGGGACUCCUGCCACUGUGAGUCACUUUCACACCCUCCAUUCCUUACAGCUGGGGAAUCAAAGACUAAGCCCAUCCUUGCAAACCUGUAAUCUUGAUAUUUCCGUUCUUUCCUCUACAGCUCUGCCACACACACACACACACACACACACACACACACACACACACACACACACACACAGAGUCACACAUAUACAUGCACAUGCAGUUGGUCACACACACACCCAUGUGCAUACACACACACACAGACACACACACAUCUCUUUGCCUAAGUGCCUUUUAGCUUAAAAAAGAGGUAGACCCUAGUGCUAGUUAAGUCACAGUCUUUCAAAAAAUUUGCUUUGUAGGACUUUGCUGGUGGUCCAGUAGAUAAGAAUCCAGUUUGCAGUGCAGGGGAUGGGGGUUCACUCCUGGUUGAGGAACUAAGAUCCUGCCUGCCACAGGGCAACUAAGCCCACGUGGGCUGCAACUGCUGAGCCUGUUUGUCAUAACUACCGCACCCGUGUGUCACAGUAAAAGGUCUCAUGUGUUGCAAGGAAGGAUCCCACAUGUCGAAACUAAGAUCUGAUGCAGCCAAAUGAAUAAAUAAAUGUUUUGUUUUGUUAUUUUAAAAAGAUGCUUCACAAAGAAUUCCAUGCUGUGGACAUUGCCCAAGACAGAGAUGUGUCAAAUACAGCACCCUUUGUAUUGGCAAGGUGUGCUGGCUGACAUGGGCCUUGGAUACACAGUAAGAAAAUGAGUAGCACAAUUCUAGGUCUAUUUUGCUGAGCUCAGAGACAUAUGAGUACACAUAUACACAAAUAGGCAGACACACACAUACAUACAGUUACACCCAGGGGUUUCCCUUCAGAUUGCGCUAUGAAAGCCACUGGGACAUGACGCUCGUCUCACAAAGGCUAUUUAUAAACACUUGAUGAGACAAUGACAGCCUUGUCCUGUGUGGACAAGUGGGAACAUGAAAACGAAAUGAAGUUCCAUUGGCCAAUGAUCGCUGGGGACUUCAGGCCAAAUGAGAUGAUAAUAGAGGAUAGUCACCAAAAAGGCUGGAGGAUCCCAUGCUCGCUGUGCAGCCAUGUAAUAUUUCAGCGUGUCCUGGGAGGAGAAAUGCUCUCUGUUUUGAGUGCUAUUUCAGCCAGUAGCAUUGUUUGCAAUGCAUGCGUGCGUGCUAAGUUGCUUCAGUCGUGCCUGACUCUUUGUGAGCCUAUGGACUAUAGCCUACCAGGCUUCUCUGUCUAUGGGACUCUCCAGGCAAGAAUACUGAAGUCAGUUGCCUGGCCCUCCUCCAGGGGAUCUUCCUGACCCAGGAUUCAGACCCUUGUCUCCUACAUCUCCUGCAUUGGCAGGUGGGGUGGUUUUUUUUGUUUUUUUUUUUGUUUGUUUGUUUUUUUGUUGUUUUUUUUGUUUUGUUUUGUUUUUUAUCACUAAGCACUAUCUGUUUGCAAUAUGGAGCUGCAAAACCAUUUCAAAAACUCUCAUGUUUUCUCAGCUGCUGAUGUCUUGGAAGAGAUAGAAACCAUCACUGACUCACCUAUGAGUUCUAGGAAUUGGAAUUGGGUCCGAUAUUGAGGUGUUUGUAGAUGGUUAUACUGGAGGAGGCACAGAGCAGACUCACGUUUCUCUCCCAUCCCUUUUCAUGGAGGCAAAAAUGAUUACCCUUAUUUUCAAGAUCAGAACAACCCUGUACCAGAAAACAAGAUGAUAUUGAGAUGGUUCCAAAAAUAGGAGCUUAGGAAAUAGCAGCUGGAGUAAGAACUUGUGAAGAUCAUGCCCAUGGACUUCAGGUGUAGAAACUGUAUCGGUAGGCACGUUAACACUGACUGGUUCAUAAGAAUUCUGCUGCUAACUGAAGAGGAUGCAUUCAAAUUUUAACCAGAAGAGGGAUGACUCGAAUUCCAUAUUGAAAAGAACCUCUGGGAACCAGGGAGAGAAUCCUCUGUGCCAGGAAGUGGAAGAAGAGAGAUUAACGAUUCCACUUGGGUGACUAGCUUUGCUUGGAGCACUGCAUCAGUUCCCAAGGGUCCUCCUAGCUUCUGACCCUCUGAUUCUGCUCCUCUAUUGAUGCACAACAAGGUGGCUACAUUUCUUGCCUCUCCCAGCCCAAUCCCAUAUGCUCUUUCAAUUCAGAUCAUGUUUUCCUAACAAAGGCACAGGAUUGAGAAGCAAAACACAGCAGCAGUGAGUCUGAGAGGGCUUCUCAGCCUCAUCUUAGUUGCUUCCUGUUUGACAGCGAGAACUAAGGAAGUGAGAAAUCUGGGCUCCCUGCAUGAAUAUUCUGGAAGCUUAUUUCACUUGGCAAUGUGACACUCCGAGUGCACCUCUAACUUCUGCUGUUCCUCUUCAUUGUCAUUAUCUGAGAUUCACGGGAACAGUAUAUGGUUACAUAUCCCCAAGUUCUCUCCAGUGUACACUUUGCAAUUUAAAGAUACAGACAUAGUAAAUGUAUUAUGAUUACCUGUGAGCCCUUAGUGUAACUAAAGGGGAUCAAGCUGCUGUGAUUUAAAAUUUUAUUACAUAAAACUACCCUUGGUCCACUCCUUAAAGUGUCAAGGUCCUUAUGAUUUGGGACCAAGAGAUAAAACAUGAAGCUAAGUUUUUAUGUAAAGGUUUGAAAUAAUAUGGUGUGUAUAUUAAGACACAACUUGUCCACUCAGUCACAGUUCUUUCCCCUCAAACCAGACUGAAAGUAUCAGACUACAGAGUGCAACACAUACCACACACACACACACACACACAC
ensembl:lncRNA